GCCGGGCGUGGGGGCAUACACCUGUAGUCCCAGCUACUCAGGAGGCUGAGGUAGAAGAAUCUCUUGAGCCUAGGAGAUUCAGGCUGCAGUGAGCCAUGAUCAGGCCACUGCACUCUAGCCUGGGUAACAGAGUGAGAUCCUAUCUCUG
rnacentral:SRP_RNA from 1 species